rnacentral:misc_RNA from 1 species
AGAUAAGAGAGUGUAAGAUUUACCUUACUUAUCCUUAUCCUUUUAAUGACUCAGCUCUUCUUACCCUUGUACUUUACUAACUCAGCUCUUCUCUGUAAUUACUUGCCCCUCCUUAUACUUACCCCCUCUUAACCCUUAUUUACCAUUCCCUCACCCCCAUCCAAAAUCCUCCAAAAAUCUCACUUUUCAACCCACCAAAUUGGUGGA